rnacentral:rRNA from 1 species
UAAUUGAAGAGUUUGAUCAUGGCUCAGAUUGAACGCUGGCGGCAGGCUUAACACAUGCAAGUCGAACGGUAACAGGAGAAAAGCUUGCUUUUCUUGCUGACGAGUGGCGGACGGGUGAGUAAUGCUUGGGAAUCUGCCUUAUGGAGGGGGAUAACUACGGGAAACUGUAGCUAAUACCGCGUAAUGUCUUUGGACUAAAGUAUGGGAUCUUCGGACCAUAUGCCAUGAGAUGAGCCCAAGUGAGAUUAGGUAGUUGGUGAGGUAAAGGCUCACCAAGCUGACGAUCUCUAGCUGGUUUGAGAGGAUGACCAGCCACACUGGAACUGAGACACGGUCCAGACUCCUACGGGAGGCAGCAGUGGGGAAUAUUGCACAAUGGGGGAAACCCUGAUGCAGCCAUGCCGCGUGAAUGAAGAAGGCUUUCGGGUUGUAAAGUUCUUUCAGCGAUGAGGAAGGGUUUGU